rnacentral:lncRNA from 1 species
ACAAAUAAAGAACUAAACAGUACAAAAUUAUUACACAUCGGGGGAGUGGGGUACAUUUUGUCAAAUGGGGAUUCAAAAUAAUGAAAUAAUUAAAUCGGGCCCAAACAAAAAUAAUGCAAAAGUAUGAGUGUAAGUGCAAGAGAACCGGCUCAUUGUAAGAAAGCCCAAGAGUAAGCUAUGUGAGGUUGAUGGCGAUGCUUAAAAAGCAAUCGACUUACAAGGGUGUGAAAAAGGGCUCGAUAUUAAAUCGAGAAAAUAUGAUUUUUAUAAGUUAAAAAAAAUGGUUUCGAAUGCAUGAUGCAAUUAAAAGAAAACAAAUCUAUAUUAUUAAACAAUAAUAAAAAAAGAAAUAUGAAUAAUAAAGCAUAAAUAUAAAAGAAAGAAAAACUACGCCUAGGAGUAUCGAACCCACUACACUAAAGAUCUAGAAGCCACUCCUUUACACCAGACCAUUUAGGAUUAGUUAUUAUUUACAAUGUCAAAUGGACUUUAUAAAUCAAAAAUAUUGGAACAAAGAAAAUUAAAGAAAAUAAAACCAAAAUAAUAAUAAUAAUAAAAAAAAAGACUGUUGGGUUACCCCAAAAAAAAUCCAGCCGCCUGGCUGUUGGAUUUUAGAGGUUGGGAAUAUUAAAAGAACAAUUAACUAAAUCCUAAACUAAUAAAACCAUAGUUAAUGACCUACCUAAAAACUCUAAACACUCACUAAAUGGGAAUUAAAAAAUCUAUUCUUAAAAAAGAAUGGAGCCUUGAAUAAUUAAACGAGAAAAGAAAACAAGAGGACGCAAAACAG